rnacentral:rRNA from 1 species
UGGGGAAUUUUGGACAAUGGGCGAAAGCCUGAUCCAGCCAUGCCGCGUGAGUGAAGAAGGCCUUCGGGUUGUAAAGCUCUUUCGGACGGGAAGAAAUGGCGAGCUCUAACAUAGCUUGUCGAUGACGGUACCGUAAGAAGAAGCACCGGCUAACUACGUGCCAGCAGCCGCGGUAAUACGUAGGGUGCGAGCGUUAAUCGGAAUUACUGGGCGUAAAGCGUGCGCAGGCGGUUGUGUAAGACAGGUGUGAAAUCCCCGGGCUUAACCUGGGAACUGCGCUUGUGACUGCACAGCUAGAGUACGGCAGAGGGGGGUGGAAUUCCUGGUGUAGCAGUGAAAUGCGUAGAUAUCAGGAGGAACACCGAUGGCGAAGGCAGCCCCCUGGGCCUGUACUGACGCUCAUGCACGAAAGCGUGGGGAGCAAACAG